rnacentral:rRNA from 1 species
UACGUAGGGUGCGAGCGUUGUCCGGAAUUAUUGGGCGUAAAGGGCUCGUAGGCGGUCUGUCACGUCGGGAGUGAAAACUCAGGGCUUAACCCUGAGCCUGCUUCCGAUACGGGCAGACUAGAGGUAUGCAGGGGAGAAUGGAAUUCCUGGUGUAGCGGUGAAAUGCGCAGAUAUCAGGAGGAACACCGGUGGCGAAGGCGGUUCUCUGGGCCGAUACUGACGCUGAGGAGCGAAAGCGUGGGGAGCGAACAGG